AUUGAACGCUGGCGGCAGGCCUAACACAUGCAAGUCGAACGAGUGGCGGACGGGUGAGUAAUGUCUGGGAAACUGCCCGAUAGAGGGGGAUAACUACUGGAAACGGUAGCUAAUACCGCAUACUAUCGGAUGUGCCCAUAUGGGAUUAGCUAGUAGGUGGGGUAAAGGCUCACCUAGGCGACGAUCCCUAGCUGGUCUGAGAGGAUGACCAGCCACACUGGAACUGAGACACGGUCCAGACUCCUACGGGAGGAAACAGUGGGGAAUAUUGCACAAUGGGCGCAAGCCUGAUGCAGCCAUGCCGCGUGUAUGAAGAAGGCCUUAGGGUUGUAAAGUACUUGCAGCGGGGAGGCGUUACCCGCAGAAGAAGCACCGGCUAACUCCGUGCCAGCAGCCGCGGUAAUAC
rnacentral:rRNA from 1 species